AUCCAGUGUUCUUGCCUGGAGAAUCCCAGGGACAGGGGAGCCUGGUGGGCUGCCGUCUAUGGGGUCACACAGAGUCGGACACGACUGAAGUGACUUAGCAGCAGCAGCAGCAACACCUGAGUGGGGCUUCUCCCCAUCCCAACACUUACCACGCGCUGCCUGCAGAGGCCCCCGGAGGAAGGGUCAGCUUGGAGCCACUACUUCUGCAGCUGUAUGAGACACAAGUGUUCAUGGCAAGGGGCUCUAUGGAGGUGGGGCAGGGAGCAUAGCAGCCACCCUACGCUGCUCUGCUUUCUGCAUCGCUGUCCCUGUAACUUUCAGCAGGCUGACACCCCUAGAAGCCAUGUCCACACUCCUUCCAGCACCUUCUUUUGUAGCAUCAACACUCCACAACAACCAACCCUGACUCUUUGGCCACCUCCACUCACUUCCCUCUCCACCAAACUGGCUCUAUGAUUCAGAGUCCUUCCAUUAUAGUCAGAUACAUCCAGCAAGGUAUUGACAGACCCUGUUAACUGCUAGUAACUGGUAAAGGUACAAGGUUGAGGUUCUGAUAUAGCAGAAAGGGCAUGGAGUUCAGUGCCAGGCAACUGGGGUUAGAACCCACGCUUCACCAACUCCCAACUAAAUGACUUUGGGUAAUUUACUGAGUUGCCACAUUUGUUAAAAUGGGAGUAAAACCUCCUUGAAGCACUAUUAACAGAGGCAUCUAUUAUACCUAUACUUUAUAGAGCUGUCACCAAUGAGAAUAAUAGCCAUACAGUGUCACAUGGUGGCCACUCUGUGGUAUGAGAAGUCACACCAUGGGCACCCUUUAUACCCAUUACCCCAGCAUCACAGAGAUCCUAAUGGUGGGGGAAGGGAGCCAACACUUUUUGGGGAUCAGAGAAAUUCAGUAGCUUGUUUUAGGUUACACAGCUGGUAAUUGGUAGAGCAGGUGUAUGAGCCCAGUCACCCAGGCUCUUAAACAAAUUACUGCCUUUACCUGCGUGUGUCCAGCUUGGGCACAGCCAACUUUAAUGAUUCUGGCCAAAGAUUCAUGCAGGUUGCUAUGAAAAAAAGUCACCCCUGAAACAUUAGGUGAUUAUAUUGAGCUACAGAAGAGUUGUACCUGGAGAGUCUGGUUUCUUACAGUUCUACAGACAUUCCAAUGGACAUCAGAGUGUGUUGUGGAGCCUUAAGUGAGCCAGCCAUGAUGAGAUCCAGGGUGAUUUGUUCCCAUUACACUAUGGGUACAAACAAAGGUUCUCAAACUUUAGUAAGCACCAGAAACACAACUUCUGGAGUCAGGAGGUCUGAGGUAGAGCUUGAGAAUUUGCAUUUGUGAUUAAGUUCCCAGUUGAUCCUGAUGCUGCGGGUUCAAAAGCCAUGCAUUGACAACCACCAGAUUAAAAUGUACUAUAAUAUUCCCAUCUCAUCUGUGUCCUGUCCUCCCAGAAUUCCAGGGAGUAAUCAGCAUACACAAGUGUAUCACAAAACCAGCCUCCAACCCAGAAAACUUAGCUUUGUGAUGAUGCCCUCGACGGUCCCCUUCCUCCCCAGCACCCUCCCGAAUAACCAAGGCCUCCCGGUAACCAGGACCCUGGGAGCGAGGACACUGGUGGGGCAGCUUCAUGUCUGUUCUCUGCCCCAUGUGUCUACACCAAGCAGGGAGCCAGACUUGACCCCUUUUGCCUCUGGAAACAUUUGCCACAUUAGCCAACUGGCUAAGCCUGGCUCUUCUCCAGAAUCCUGAGCACCUUGAUGGGACUGUGCAUAGGAGGGAGGGGAGAGUGCCCUGCAGGGCAGAAAUUUCUGCUCGAGGCACUUCUGGGAGAAAGGGCCUCAGGGAAAUGGCUUCUUGGUGCAGAUAGGGAGGCUGGACACAUCCCAGCCUAGGCAGAAGCCCCCUCCUCACCUCACCUCACCUCUCCUCUCGUGCCCCAUGGGCCCAGGACUAGCAGAGAAGCCCACCUUCAAGGACACGGACAGUGAGGGGAGCAGGCACAAUCACAAUGGACUGAAGGCCCCACGGAAGUCCCUCCCCCCAGUUCUUGAGUAACUCACAGGAAGAGGAGGGGCCCUUCCAUAGUGAAUGAGAUGGAAUUCUCUAGUCACCUCAAUGGGAUGGAGGGAAGAGGCAGAUUUAAAACACCACUGCUGAGCAAACCUGCCCCUCGGUACACACAGCACAGAAGACACAGCAGCCAGCUGAGAUCUCACUGAGGCGAAGGCUGCUGAGAGCUGGAAGGGCAUUUCGUGGUGAUUCACACAUAGGGAGCUGGACUUCCUUCAGUCUCAGAUGAAGAUCCUGGAGUUUAGAGACACAAAGAACAGGCCCAAACCAAUGAAUGUUAUAAAAACAAAUCAAGGAACAAAUAUGAACAUGGCUGCAGUAUACAGCAUAACGAGAGUAUUCUCAAGGAAAAGCAGUGUUCCUAGAAUAAAACUUAUCUUAUGUUCUAAAAGCACAGUUAUUCUCAGCCAAAGACCUGGUAUCAUGGGAGAGAGGGGCUAAGAAGAAUACAGGAAGGAGAAAAAGAAUGUUUAAUCACAUCAGCUCAUAUACCUUAAGGUGUCAACCAAUCGGUAGCAGCCAUCAACAGUCUACCACCUGUGAAUUUAAAUGCCAUUGGAGAAAUUUUCCUUUAAAAAUUAACAUAUUCAUUAGAAUCUCAUCUUUCUUUGAAACAAUACACAUAUAUACACGUAUACAUGUAUAAUAUGAAAGUAGGGAAGAGAUCCAUAUGUAGAAACAUAUUGUUGUGUUAAAAUGGUUAUGGGUCAUUGGUAGGAUAAUGAAAAUUUUUGUUUGAUGGAUUUUCAAAUUUUUUAUGAUGUAAAUAAAAUUUUUUGAUCAGAA